GUACUGGGAGUGGGACUGGUUUAAAGGUUGGAGUCCAGGGAGUAGAACCUAUAAUGUCCUGGAACAGUGGAUUUGGCAAAGGAGGGAUCAAGUCAGGAGCAUGUUGGGAAGCCUUGGAGGAGGAGGAAGUUUCUCUGGGUGUCCUUGAUGGAGGCCCCCCAGCCCCAUCCUGCCAUCCACAGGGACUGGCCCCAGCUGAGAUCUCUGCAGUCUGUGAAAAAGGGAAUUUCAACGUGGCCCAUGGGCUGGCAUGGUCAUAUUACAUCGGAUAUCUGCGGCUGAUCCUGCCAGGGAUCCAGGCCCGGAUUCGAACUUACAAUCAGCAUUACAACAACCUGCUAUGGGGUGCAGUGAGCCAGCGGCUGUAUAUUCUCCUCCCAUUGGACUGUGGGGUGCCUGAUAACCUGAGUAUGGCUGAUCCCAACAUUCGCUUCCUGGAUAAACUGCCCCAGCAGACCGCUGACCGUGCUGGCAUCAAGGAUCGGGUUUACAGCAACAGCAUCUAUGAACUUCUGGAGAACGGGCAGCGGGCAGGCACCUGUGUCCUGGAGUACGCCACCCCC
rnacentral:sRNA from 1 species